UCGAUUUAUUCAAAAUAUAAUAUCAUUAAAAUAAAUAUUUUAAUUUUCUUUCUAUAAAUUCUCAAAAUUCCACCUGGAAUUAUAAGUGACAAAAAAUACAAGUUAUACCUAAAUAACUGUAUAGUCUCAUAUCCCAUAAAUUAUUUUACAGUGUUCAAAUUUAGUUUAUACUUUCUAAUUAGAUAGAAUCCAUCCUGCAUCCUGAAAAAUGUAACUAUUUCUGGCUUUUAGGUCAUUCUACAAUCUCUGCUCUGGAGUUAAGAGUGUUGGUUUUUGUUAGUUAACCUCUAAUUAAGCUAUCUGAUCAGACCCCAGGAUUUAUUUUUAAUUGAAACAUCUAUUAGCGCCAUGGCAGAAUAAGAAGAGGGAAAGAAGCAAAUUGAUGAGUAUCUUCAAAGAAUUACAUUAGAGUCAGAGUAAAUGUUGAAUGGCAAGAUUGAAUUUUAAAGGUUUGCAAUUCUUGUUUAUCAAAGCUAAUGGAAGAAGAAAGAUGAGUCCGGAGCGAACAAGGAGACCUGACUGGAAAACUAAUGCUCAGGUGAAACUCCCAAAGCACUUCUGACAGGUAGAUUUUACAUAGUCGAAAAUUCAAGAAAAGUUCAUUGAAUGCCUGACAGAAGAAAAUGAUAAACUCAAAAUGAUUCCCCUGAUUUGUUCCAAGACUGCAAUGCCUUCGAUGGUAGAGAUUUUAACAUAAUUUAUUGGAACAUUCUCCUGUCAAUGGACAGUGUGAUUAUUUCCAAGCUUUCACUACUACAGAUAAACAUCACACUGACUAUUCUUAUAAAUAUAUUAUUUCACAGGUGUGAAACUGUCCCUGAAGUAUAAAGUCCUAGAAGUGCAAUUGCUGAGUUGAAGGGUAGGUAUGAUUUUAUGAUUAAAUUGCCCUCUGUAGAAGUUGUACCAAUUUAAACUUCAAUCAGUGUCUUCCAUAUUCUUGCCAACACAGUAACUUAUCAAAAUGUUCAGUCUUUGAUAACCUGAACUAAAGUGAUAUUUCUGUCUAGAUCUACUGUAUUUAUUUUUAAUUGUGAGUAAAGUUGGCAAAUUUUGAUGUAUUUAAAUCCCAAAUACAUUUGCUCUAGAUUCAACAGUGCCUGAUAUUGAAGCAGGAAGACUUGACUUCUUGUUUAAUGUUACAUACAGAUAUAUCUAAACAUGCAUAACUUUAUAUGAAUUGAUAAAUGAAAUUAUGUCCUGCAGAAUGUUUCUAAAAGGAGAGUCUUUAUCUUUUUGUUUUUAAUUGCAUCUCCUGUCAGCUAUCUUACUCCCCAUAAUAAAUUCCAUAACACUUCCAUAACACUACAAGUGUUGUAGAAUAAAUUCUACAACACUUUCUACAUCCUUUAAUAGGUCAUGCAUGCAAACAACCUUUAUUUAUCCUGUAUUUUCUUCCAUAUUACUCAAUAUUAUGCAAACAUGUUCAUUCUCUGCCUGCCUCCCUUAAUCAUAUAUAUAUAUGUACCCAUACAUGUAUAUACAUAUACACAUAUACAUAUAUGGUUUUUAAAAACUUUGGCCAUUGUGUAAUAAAUGGAAGCAUCCUGUACUUAUGAUUUUAUUUUUAGAUUUUUCACACAAAAUAUGGAAAUCUUCACUCAGUUGACAUGCCUACAAAUUAAUUUUUGAAGUAUUAUUGAAUAAUAUCCCAUUGUGGGGAUAAGCCAUUUUUUAAUCAACUAUAUCCCUUUUAAUGGCCAUUCAUAACAUAAUGGCCAUUAUAUUAUGUUUGCCAAUAUGAUUAAUGCCACAAUAAAUACCCUUGUACACAUAUCCUUACAUAUUUGUGCCUCUAAUUCUGAUAAAGAUUCCCAAGAAUAGGACUGUUAAAUCAAAUAUCUUAUUUUAUAUAGAUGUUGCCAGAAUUUUUCCAACAAGGCUAAAACAACUUUCGUUCUUACCAGAAAUAUAUGUGUUUUACUUUCUUUGUGCCCUAACAAUAUAUUAAUAAUAAUAUGGUAUUAAUAUUAAU